rnacentral:lncRNA from 13 species
GCUAGGUUGGGCAGAUUGCUUGAGCCCAGGAGUUCAAGACCAGCUUGAGAAAUAUAGUGAGACCCCCUCCCCCCACCACUAACCACCACCUUAAAAAAUUGAAAAAAAAAAAAAAAAAGGAAUGGAAAGGAGACUUCAUUUUUUAUAAGGUGUUAUAGUCUGCUAGGUGGCCAUCCCACAGGCUGAGAAGCACAGCCUCCAGCCAUGACCAUAGAGACAGGCACUUGGAAGAAAGAGAAGUUGGGUAGGAGCUUUAUGCCAGUCAGGUUGGCUAGACAUACAAAUUCAACAGGUUACAGGAGGUACUGUGUAUACUCAGGAAAGUAGUUCUGAUGUGUGGGAUUUGAAAAAAAAAUAUGCAUAUAGUGUAUGAUCCAUGCUCACCUUGGGAUGAAGACUGAACAUUGAAAUGUGUUACAGCUAGUCCCUCUAUGUCAAAAGGUCUUUUUAGGACAUGAUGGCACUCAAGCACACAGCCUCUGUAAGUCAGCUAGGACCAGUCCACGUUUGGCGGUCUUCCUAUCAGGAGAAAGUUACAGAAAUCAGUCUCUUGUUUAAUCACAGAUACGAUACAGCUGGUGGAACAGGGGAUCAGUUAGUCAGUGUCUGUGAGCUGGAGCUGGGUGAGCUGUAAUUGUUUUAAUCUUGCUUAUCUUGAGGCCAGUUCUUAUUCAGCAGCUAGAGGGAAGAAAAACCUCGUGGCAGUUAGGAUUAGAACAUAUACUUUUUGAUUUUUUCUGUGACAGAGUCUUGCUCUGUCACCCAGGCUGGAGUGCAAUGGCACAAUCGUGGCUCACUGCAGCCUCGACCUCCCUGACUGAAUUGAUCCUCCCACCUCAGCCUCCUGAGUAGCUGGGACUACAGAUGUGUGCCACCAUGCAUGGCUAAUUUUUUUUAUUUUUUGUAGAGAUGGGAUUUUGCCAUGUUUCCCAGGCUGGUUUUGAACUCCUGACCUCAAAUGAUGCAUCCACCUUGACCUCCAAAAUGGCUGGGAAUACAGGCAUGAGCCACCCCUGCUGGGCCCACAGUUCAUUCUUUAAGGCCUUAACCACAGUUGUUUCCGACUGGUCCACUAGAGAAGCCUUGGUAUGAGUCAAGAGAGUGGGAUGUCUUCAUCAGCCUGUCAGUCAUGGAAAGAGAUUCCCAUGCAUCUUCUUCAGGUGGGCAGCUGGUCAUGUUUCUGGGCCCACCAGCUCUGAGGGUCACACUAUCUAGGGCCCGCUGAGCUGCUUUAGAAGAGCUUGGCACUGCAGGACAUAGGGCCAGGUACCCUGUUUCUUGAGGGCCAGAAAGCCCCUUCAGAGCCUUUCUCAUCUGCACACUUUCAGCAGACUCUCUGGAGCAGCCCAGCUUCCCAGAACUGAGACCCCCAAACCAAGAAGAGGAUGCACCUUGGACCUGGGUAAAAGGUCCUUUCCAAGCUACUGCUCGAAGAGGCCCAGGAGAAAUCAAAAGAUCAGGAACUCCUUUUGCGAUUGUGUAUGAUCCACCUUCAGUAUGGACGGUUGUUCUCCCGGCAGGUACUUCCCCUUAGCUUUUCUUCUUGGCUAAGUUCCUUUGCAAUUUAUUGUAGAACUUCUGCCGGCCAGAUGUUUCCCCCUAGAGUACACCUCAAUGUCAGUAGUCUACUCUUGUGGAUUCGAUAAUUUGCUAUGAUUCUGAACAGGAUUUGUAGGAUCACUCUACUAUUAUAAGGGACAGAAAACCCUAUACCAAAAAGGGCAAUGCACAUAGCCUUUUUUCUGUUUUUGAAACAUGUUCUUUUAUGAUUGGAAGUGAAAGGACAAGAAAAGAAAAGUUGAUGCUGAAAUCAUUAGGAAACAGGUUUAGUCACUGAGGCUAAAAUAUAAAAGCAUAGAAUGAAAACCUCUUACAACCCUGGUGGAGUCUUACAUAAAAACUAAAGGUCUUUCAAUAAAAAUAGCUCAAAUUUCUGCUAUGAUGACA